rnacentral:lncRNA from 1 species
CAUUUUGUUUAACUACAUUUAUUGGUAAACGUUAUUGUAGAUAGCUUCUAUAAAGUUGUAUACUACACUUGCGAGCAUACCAUCUCAUAAAAGUAGAAACAAAGCUCAAAGCUAAAUCCAAAAUUAUCAUGAGAAAUUGAAGUAGAGAUGUGAAUAGUUCCAGUUAACAUAAAGUGGAAAAACAUAGUAAUAUCUUCUUCUCCCUAAAACUAGUAGCUAGCACAUAGUAAGAGAAGAUACUUCAUUACACAAACUGCUGCUGAUCCAUCUUUUAACCAUCAUCUAACUCCUGCUAAACAUAAAUCAACCAUGUGUGACAACUAGAUAGUAGCAACAUUUACAAAGCAAACCACGAUAGAGAUUUUUAUAUCUUCAUUCCCAGCUUAAUUGGUCUUCGUGUUGAAAUAUUUAAAAAAUAAGAUUUCACCAAAAAUUAUUUUUGUUUUGAAUCCUACCAAAU